GGCUGAGAGUUUCAUUAACCCAUAUCAUCUAAACUCCAACUUUCUGAAGCUCAUCCCUCCACAUUAUUAUCCAGCGAACUAUUCUGAAUCCUUGUAUUUAAUUAAAUUAACCGAUUCCAAUCUUACGGAGGCUCAGAUUUGGCGUACUCAUUUCUCUCGGUUUCUUUGAGCUCUCUUGUCUAAUGAGAAGUUAUGAAAGAUGCGCUCUUAACUGGCUAGUGCUGUUUCAAAGUUUCCGCGACAAAUGAAAAAUGUUUCUUGCCUGUUUGCUUUGUUGAUGGAUAGUCAAUUUCUGAAGGUUUGACGAUUGCAAUGCUGGGACUAUCCAAGUCAUCAAGGGCACAUGUAGAAUAUAAUUAUUGAUUGAUGUAUUUUUUCAUGUAUAAUUCUCCGGUUAUGGAUCAGAAUCUUGUGCUGUAAUAAUUCUUUUAUAUAGUAAAAACUCAUUUGUAUUUAAUCUUUAAUAUAUGAUUUUGAUUAUUUGUUA